UGGCGCAAGAAAACGGGCCAUCCCUCGGCCUC
rnacentral:sRNA from 1 species